rnacentral:rRNA from 1 species
UACAGAGGGGGCAAGCGUUGUUCGGAAUUACUGGGCGUAAAGGGCGCGUAGGCGGCCUGUUAAGUCGAACGUGAAAUCCCCGGGCUCAACCCGGGAACUGCGUCCGAUACUGGCUGGCUUGAAUCCGGGAGAGGGAUGCGGAAUUCCAGGUGUAGCGGUGAAAUGCGUAGAUAUCUGGAGGAACACCUAUGGCGAAGGCAGCUCGCUGGGACGUUACUGACGCUGAGACGCGAAAGCGUGGGGAGCAAACAGG